rnacentral:rRNA from 1 species
UCCGUAGAUNUCAAGAAGAAUACCUAUUGCGAAGGCGAUCUGCUGGAACUUAACUGACGCUAAUGCGUGAAAGCGUGGGGAGCAAACAGGAUUAGAUACCCUGGUAGUCCACGCCCUAAACGAUGUAUACCGGUUGUUGCUGUGCUAGUCACGGCAGUAAUCCACCUAACGGAUUAAGUAUACCGCCUGGGGAGUACGGUCGCAAGAUUAAAACUCAAAGGAAUAGACGGGGACCCGCACAAGCGGUGGAGCAUGUGGUUUAAUUCGAAGAUACGCGAAGAACCUUACCCGGACUUGAUAUCUAACAAAUCAUCCAGAGAUGGAAGAGUGUCUGCUUGCAGAAAUGUUAAGACAGGUGCUGCACGGCUGUCGUCAGCUCGUGUCGUGAGAUGUUGGGUUAAGUCCCGCAACGAGCGCAACCCACGUCAUUAGUUGCUAACGGUUCGGCCGAGCACUCUAAUGAGACUGCCUUCGUAAGGAGGAGGAAGGUGUGGACGACGUCAAGUCAUCAUGGCCCUUAUGUCCGGGGCGACACACGUGCUACAAUGGCAUAUACAAUAAGACGCAAUAUCGCGAGAUGGAGCAAAUCUAAAAAAUAUGUCCCAGUUCGGAUUGGAGUCUGCAACUCGACUCCAUGAAGCCGGAAUCGCUAGUAAUCGUAGAUCAGCCAUGCUACGGUGAAUACGUUCCCGGGUCUUGUACUCACCGCCCGUCACACCAUGGGAGUUGAUUUCACUCGAAGCGGGAAUGCGAAAUUCGCUACCCUCCACA